UUAAAUUGAAGAGUUUGAUCAUGGCUCAGAUUGAACGCUGGCGGCAGGCCUAACACAUGCAAGUCGAACGGUAGCACAGAGAGCUUGCUCUCGGGUGACGAGUGGCGGACGGGUGAGUA
rnacentral:rRNA from 4 species